rnacentral:tRNA from 1 species
UUUGGCGCAGUGGUAGUGACCCUGCCUGUUGCGCUGGGGGCAUGGGUUCGAUUCCCGCACAA